UGCAGUCGACGAUGAUCCNGCUUGCUGGGGGAUUAGUGGCGAACGGGUGAGUAACACGUGAGUAACCUGCCCUUGACUCUGGGAUAAGCCUGGGAAACUGGGUCUAAUACCGGAUACGACCAUCUGGCGCAUGUCAUGGUGGUGGAAAGCUUUUGUGGUUUUGGAUGGACUCGCGGCCUAUCAGCUUGUUGGUGGGGUAAUGGCCUACCAAGGCGACGACGGGUAGCCGGCCUGAGAGGGUGACCGGCCACACUGGGACUGAGACACGGCCCAGACUCCUACGGGAGGCAGCAGUGGGGAAUAUUGCACAAUGGGCGCAAGCCUGAUGCAGCGACGCCGCGUGAGGGAUGACGGCCUUCGGGUUGUAAACCUCUUUCAGUAGGGAAGAAGCCGCAAGGUGACGGUACCUGCAGAAGAAGCGCCGGCUAACUACGUGCCAGCAGCCGCGGUAAUACGUAGGGCGCAAGCGUUAUCCGGAAUUAUUGGGCGUAAAGAGCUCGUAGGCGGUUUGUCGCGUCUGCUGUGAAAGACCGGGGCUCAACUCCGGUUCUGCAGUGGGUACGGGCAGACUAGAGUGCAGUAGGGGAGACUGGAAUUCCUGGUGUAGCGGUGAAAUGCGCAGAUAUCAGGAGGAACACCGAUGGCGAAGGCAGGUCUCUGGGCUGUAACUGACGCUGAGGAGCGAAAGCAUGGGGAGCGAACAGGAUUAGAUACCCUGGUAGUCCAUGCCGUAAACGUUGGGCACUAGGUGUGGGGGACAUUCCACGUUUUCCGCGCCGUAGCUAACGCAUUAAGUGCCCCGCCUGGGGAGUACGGCCGCAAGGCUAAAACUCAAAGGAAUUGACGGGGGCCCGCACAAGCGGCGGAGCAUGCGGAUUAAUUCGAUGCAACGCGAAGAACCUUACCAAGGCUUGACAUGAACCGGAAAGACCUGGAAACAGGUGCCCCGCUUGCGGUCGGUUUACAGGUGGUGCAUGGUUGUCGUCAGCUCGUGUCGUGAGAUGUUGGGUUAAGUCCCGCAACGAGCGCAACCCUCGUUCUAUGUUGCCAGCGCGUUAUGG
rnacentral:rRNA from 1 species